rnacentral:rRNA from 1 species
AACGAACGUUAGCGGCGCGCCUAACACAUGCAAGUCGUGCGAGAAAGGGCUUCGGCCCCGGUAAAGCGGCGCACGGGUGAGUAACACGUAGAUAACCUACCCUCAGGUGGCGGAUAACCUUCCGAAAGGAGGGCUAAUACGGCAUAAGACCACGACCUCGCAAGAGGAUGGGGUAAAAGCGGGCCUCUGUACACAAGCUCGCGCCAGAGGAUGGGUCUGCGGCCCAUCAGCUAGUUGGUAGGGUAAUGGCCUACCAAGGCGAAGACGGGUAGCUGGUCUGGGAGGAUGAUCAGCCACACUGGAACUGAGACACGGUCCAGACUCCUACGGGAGGCAGCAGUGGGGAAUCUUGCGCAAUGGGCGAAAGCCUGACGCAGCGACGCCGCGUGAGUGAUGAAGGCCUUCGGGUUGUAAAGCUCUGUGGAGGGGGACGAAUAAGUCGGAGCGAAUAGCUCCGAUGAUGACGGUACCCCUUUAGCAAGCACCGGCUAACUCUGUGCCAGCCGCCGCCGUAAUAC